rnacentral:rRNA from 1 species
CCUACGGGAGGCAGCAGUGGGGAAUAUUGCACAAUGGGGGAAACCCUGAUGCAGCGACGCCGCGUGAGUGAAGAAGUAAUUCGUUAUGUAAAGCUCUAUCAGCAGGGAAGAAAAUGACGGUACCUGAGUAAGAAGCCCCGGCUAACUACGUGCCAGCAGCCGCGGUAAUACGUAGGGGGCAAGCGUUAUCCGGAUUUACUGGGGGUAAAGGGAGCGUAGACGGCAGUGCAAGUCUGGAGUGAAAGGCGGGGGCUCAACCCCCGGACUGCUCUGGAAACUGUACGGCUGGAGUGCAGGAGAGGUAAGUGGAAUUCCUAGUGUAGCGGUGGAAUGCGUAGAUAUUAGGAGGAACACCAGUGGCGAAGGCGGCUUACUGGACUGUAACUGACGUUGAGGCUCGAAAGCGUGGGGAGCAAACAGGAUUAGAUACCCGGGUAGUC